rnacentral:lncRNA from 1 species
GUUUCUUUCAGACAUGAAUUGAGGAAAAGAUGCGAAAUAAUCCAUGGGAAGGCAACGUGGAAUCCAACUGAUUGACCAUUAUACAGGUAUAUUAACGUGUGUUGUAUCUUGCAUAUAGUUUGAACUAUAUAAUAUCUUGUCAGUUUUGACAGUGUUGUGACGUACAUAGCUGUGCUUUGUACAUUCCUAUGAACCGGCCACCAGUCUAUUAGCGUGUUGUAAAGUUGCCACUGUCUGCAUUUUCCAUAUUGUUUGGACUUUGUCACUCUUAAUGAAUAUUUCACUAUAUUCUGCUAUAUAGUUUAUAUUUUUACUACAGUCUACACUCAUGAAAAUAUUUGAUUGGUUAUAUAGUUUUGCGUGCAGAAUCUGGUAACAUGAUGCGGGUUGAUUUUAAUAUGUAUGUCAUAUAUUAAAUCUUGAACUGUCUGAACUGUCUGUGCCAGUGUUACGGCAGUGUAUAGGAGUAGUGCCAAUAAUAACAAACUUGCAACCACCUGAAAAGUAGGGAAUAAGGGACUCGAUCCAGACGAAGGCCUUCGGUCGAAACGUCGACUAUUCUCCUUAUAUUUUUCAGGUAGUUGUACCCUACCAACGAAAGCUUGUUAUAUCACUUUAAUAUAUGUCAACAAGUCACAAACACAAUGGAACCACUUUGGCGGUUUUGUGCUCGAGAAAUUGGAAACACGGACAAACAUGGCGGAGCGUAAUACAAAAUACACAAAUGUUUCGGCCAUUCAAUAGAUAAAUUUGCUCGCUUUCGUCAUGAAACAAUAGUCAAAAUGGAAAAUAUGACACGAGAAGAGAAAUUCAAAGCCAUGAAGCUGCCGGAGCUCAAAGCGUACUUACAAAAUCGAGGAAUUAGGCCUACUGUUAACAGUUACCUCAAACCCGGGGUCCCGGACUCCUACCUAUUGCUUGUGCCGUAGAAGAAAUGAGUCUUCCAUUGCUUUUUCAUGUCAGUGAAGCCCAAGGCCAGUAAAAUCUAAGCCGUCAGUUUGAGAGUUAACGAUAUUCAGCUGCCUGAUCCUUUUAAAAUGAAUGUUUUAAACGAUUUUAAGCAUCUCAUAUAUCACUCGUCACAAUAUGAACAAGCAAAAUCUAGCAGCUUAUAAAUAUCUUUUACAUAUCGUAUGCAUUUAUUAGACGGAGAUUAGGAUUAUUACUUAUAUUUUCCAUACUACUAGUUAUUGCUGAUACAGGGUCUGGAUGUUCUUCAGUAGGACCAUUUUGUCCAACAAAAUGAAGGCUAUACAUAACAAAUUUAUCGCCUCUGUGACAUGUACGUAUCCAGCGCUCUCGUUUUGCGCUAUGGUAUUUAGCCCCAGGAAAAUGUAAAAAGAAGAUAUCAGCUCCAUUACUGUUUCGUUUUAACCGAUCAGGAUACCGUGAGUCGCUUUUACAAGUACCCGGCAAGCGCACUUUUUAGUCGUAACCAUUCUAUAUUGUUCUAUACAGUAUAUUAUACGCUCGGCCAUGUUUGAUAUCUUUUUUUUUACAUUUUCCUGGGGCUAUAGAUACCAUAGCCCAAAACGAGAGCGCUGGAUACGUGCAUGCAACAGAGGCGAUAAAUUUGUCUGUACGAAGCCGAAGGAUAGUUACAUAUGUACUAUAUAUGUAGCCUUCAUUUUGUUGGACAAAAUGGUCCUACUGAAGACCAUCCAGACCCUGUAUCAGUAAUAACUAGUACGGAAAAUAUAAUAAUCCUAAUCUCCGUCUAGCAUAUAAAACGCAGCCUUUUUUAAUGCGUACGAUAUGUAAAAGAUAUUUAUAAGCUGCUAGACUUUGCUUGUCAUAUUCUGAGGAGUGAUAUAUGAGAUGAUAAGAUUAGGCUAAAUAUAUAUCAAACAAGGCGAGAAUGCUUAAAAUCGUUUAAAACAUUCAUUUUAAAAGGAUCAGGCAGCUGAAUAUCAUGAACUCUCAAACGACGGCUUAGAUUUAACUGGUCUUGGCCUUGGGUUUCACUGACUUGAAAAAGCAAUGGAAGACUCAUUUCUUCAACGGCACAAGCAAUAGCUAUAGGUAUAGGAGUCCGGGUUUGAGGUAACUGUUAACAGUAAUUCCUCGAUUUUGUAAGUACGCUUUGAGCUCCGGCAGCUUCAUGGCUUUGAAUUUCUCUUCUCGUGACAUAUUUUCCAUUUUGACUAUAAUUGUUAGUAAAACUGCGAUAUUUUCUUUUUGAUAUAUGUAGAAUAAAGAAUAAUUGUAAACGAAAGGAAAUAUAAGCAAAUUAAAUUGCAAAUCAAAAGCGAAAGUUGAACUAAUUUAGACGUUCACUAAUUCCGUCGAAACGUCGCGUCGAAUCGAAUACAACCACAAAACUGUCAAUUUAUCUCGAAUAAACAAAUCAGCAGCAUUAGAUUAAACGAACUCAAUGCAAGGGAAAUUUCACGUUUGAAACAGUCUGCACGAUCUGAUAAACAACGCCAACAAUUACAACAUUUCGGAAUGAAUCUUUAAUUGCCGACUGAUUUUUUUUGUGAAAACCUCAAACCUCACACGCAUGUCCAAUACUGCCGCAUAAAUGCGGGUCGUACGAGUUGUAAAAUCCGUCAUUAUCAAGACCAUUCUAACACAAUGCUCUCCAAUUGAUACGGCUCGUACAGGUCGUAAUUCAAAUCGUACAAAAAUUCAAUUUUGAGCGCGUACGUGUUAUAUACGUAACAUACAAAAGAUUCUCCUCAGACUCAGUCUUAAAUAUUUUUACUAAUUCUUCAUAUUGUAUAUGUUAUUCAUCUUCAGAACCAUUGUCAAUUACACUCAUUGAAAAUGAACGAAGAUUAGAGACUGACUGAAUUCGAAUCUGUUCAGGGAUAGAGAAAUCAUGGCACAAAAUAAAGAUUCAAGAACGGUGGUCUAUGCAAAGAAUUCCAACGUAAUUGUUGGAGAUAGCAACAUCAUAAACAUUCUUCAGCCAAGGG